rnacentral:rRNA from 1 species
UACGGAGGGGGCGAGCGUUAUUCGGAAUUAUUGGGCGUAAAGGGCGCGUAGGCGGCUUGACAAGUCAAAGGUGAAAUCCCUCGGCUCAACUGAGGAACUGCCUUUGAAACUGUCUGGCUUGAGGCCGGGAGGGGGUAGCGGAAUUCCCAGUGUAGCGGUGAAAUGCGUAGAUAUUUGGAGGAACACCGGUGGCGAAGGCGGCUACCUGGCCCAACAUUGACGCUGAGACCCGAAAGCAUGGGGAUCAAACAGG